rnacentral:rRNA from 1 species
GACGGAGGGUGCAAGCGUUGUUCGGAAUUACUGGGCGUAAAGGGCGCGUAGGCGGUCUGUUAAGUUCGGUGUGAAAGCCCUCGGCUUACCCGGGGAACUGCGCCGGAAACCGACAGACUCGAGUACCGGAGAGGAGGGUGGAAUUCCUGGUGUAGCGGUGAAAUGCGUAGAUAUCAGGAGGAACACCGGUAGCGAAGGCGGCCCUCUGGACGGAUACUGACGCUGAGGCGCGAAAGCGUGGGGAUCAAACAGG